CUGUGUUAAGGAAGAUUGAUAAACCUAAUAAACUUAUAUAUAAACCUAUCAGUAAAGGAUUAUAGAGAGGAAAUUCAACUUCACUCUGGAGUACUUGUUAUAUCUCUUCUGGAACUUCAAGUUACAGCAUGUUAUGACUGUGAAGCAUCUCCUCAGUGGUUUUUUGCUUCUUAAUAUGAAAGACUGCCAUCAAUGAAGCUCAGUAUUUCAGAGAAUUGUGGUUUAAGUGUUGAGUUUCCCGUCUUACUCAACUUCAUAAUUCAGUAAAUGUCUCAUGGGGAAAAUUCGCCCUGCGUUUGAUGCCUUUAUAUUUACAAUCUUUCACUCUAGAUACAUUCCUCUCUUGUGGCAAAACCUGGAUUCUUCUCCACUAGCUACAUUCAAGAUUAGCCAAGGCUCCAGGAAUAAUGUUAUAGAGGGUCAAAAUACUGCUUCCAAAGAAUAACUAUUGCUGCAUAAUAAAUUACCCCAAACGUAUCAGCUAAAACCAACAUA